GAGGCUAUAGUUCAGUGGUAGAGUGCAUGUUUAGCAAGCAUAAGGUCCUGGGUUCAAUCCCCAGUACCUCCA
rnacentral:tRNA from 1 species